UUGAUUAAGCUCACCUAAAUCAAUCAUUAACCAAUUAUCUACUUUUGUUUCUAUUUGUGCAGAAUGAGCCGAACCAGUGUUUUCAAAGGCGUUGCCGAGGCGCGCCCGGGGCGCGCUUCGGUGUGGGGCGACCGGAAAUUGCCUCGCCUGAGCAAAAUGAGGCGUGCUGCUGGAAAAGCGUCGCCUAGGCGACGGAGCGGCGAUUUUGUGCAGAUGCGGCGCCUCAGGCGGGAAGGCAAUGAAGAAGAAGACGCGAGAUCGCCCCCAGAAGGCCAGAACAGAUCGCGACAAAAAAAAAAAAAAACAAAGAACAGAUCGCGACCUGUGGGAAGAUCGCAGCGCAGCCAAGGAAGAGUGGAAAGACGAGUGUGUAGGUGCGUUGCUUGGCUGGUGGAUCGACUAGCUUGAAUGAUGAAAUCAAUGUCCAAUUCAUGGUGUUAAUUGAACCACGAGAGUUCUAUUUUGAGGUCGAAGACGGCUUGGAUCAGAGGAAUGUCUCGGCUCAGUUGCUGCGUCUCUUUUUCCAUGACUCCUUCAUUGAGAGAAUUGGAGCUCAGCUAGCAGCUAGCUUUUGCAGUGGGAUUGGCUCUGGGAAAGAAAAGAGAAGGACAAAGGGUACGAAUUUGCAGGUGAUGAAGAUUCAAGACCAAGACUAAUAUUUCACUUUCAUGUGCUUUUGUUGCCUAAUGUGGAAUUCAUAGUCAUACAAUUCA